UACAGAGGUCUCGAGCGUUGUUCGGAUUCAUUGGGCGUAAAGGGUGCGUAGGUGGCGCUGUAAGUCAGGUGUGAAAAUUUUCGGAGCUUAACUCCGAAACUGCAUUUGAUACUGCGGUGCUUGAGGACUGGAGAGGAGACUGGAAUUUACGGUGUAGCAGUGAAAAUGCGUAGAGAUCGUAAGGAAGACCAGUGGCGAAGGCGGGUCUCUGGACAUUCUUGACACUGA
rnacentral:rRNA from 1 species